rnacentral:rRNA from 1 species
UACGUAGGGUGCAAGCGUUGUCCGGAAUUAUUGGGCGUAAAGAGCUCGUAGGCGGUUUGUCGCGUCUGCUGUGAAAACCCGAGGCUCAACCUCGGGCCUGCAGUGGGUACGGGCAGACUAGAGUGCGGUAGGGGGAGAUUGGAAUUCCUGGUGUAGCGGUGAAAUGCGCAGAUAUCAGGAGGAACACCGGUGGCGAAGGCGGGUCUCUGGGCCGAUACUGACGCUGAGGAGCGAAAGCGUGGGGAGCAAACAGG